rnacentral:rRNA from 1 species
GAGUUUGAUCAUGGCUCAGAUUGAACGCUGGCGGCAGGCCUAACACAUGCAAGUCGGGCGGUAGAGAGAAGCUUGCUUCUCUUGAGAGCGGCGGACGGGUGAGUAAUGCCUAGGAAUCUGCCUGGUAGUGGGGGAUAACGCUCGGAAACGGACGCUAAUACCGCAUACGUCCUACGGGAGAAAGCAGGGGACCUUCGGGCCUUGCGCUAUCAGAUGAGCCUAGGUCGGAUUAGCUAGUUGGUGAGGUAAUGGCUCACCAAGGCGACGAUCCGUAACUGGUCUGAGAGGAUGAUCAGUCACACUGGAACUGAGACACGGUCCAGACUCCUACGGGAGGCAGCAGUGGGGAAUAUUGGACAAUGGGCGAAAGCCUGAUCCAGCCAUGCCGCGUGUGUGAAGAAGGUCUUCGGAUUGUAAAGCACUUUAAGUUGGGAGGAAGGGCAGUAAAUUAAUACUUUGCUGUUUUGACGUUACCGACAGAAUAAGCACCGGCUAACUCUGUGCCAGCA